rnacentral:rRNA from 1 species
UACAGAGGGGGCAAGCGUUGUUCGGAAUUACUGGGCGUAAAGGGCCAGUAGGCGGCCAACUAAGUCGGAUGUGAAAUCCCCAGGCUUAACCUGGGAACUGCAUCCGAUACUGGAUGGCUUGAAUUCGGGAGAGGGAUGCAGAAUUCCAGGUGUAGCGGUGAAAUGCGUAGAUAUCAGGAGGAACACCGAUGGCGAAGGCAGGUCUCUGGGCAUUAACUGACGCUGAGGAGCGAAAGCAUGGGGAGCGAACAGG